rnacentral:rRNA from 1 species
GAUGAACGCUGUCUACAGGCUUAACACAUGCAAGUCGAGGGGAAACGCCGGGGAAGCUUGCUUCCCCGGGCGUCGACCGGCGCACGGGUGAGUAACGCGUAUCCAACCUGCCUCUGACUGAGGGAUAACCCGUCGAAAGUCGGCCUAAUACCUCAUGGCAUCGUCUGCGGGCAUCCAACGACGAUUAAAGAUUUCAUCGGUCAGGGAUGGGGAUGCGUCUGAUUAGCUUGUUGGCGGGGUAACGGCCCACCAAGGCUACGAUCAGUAGGGGUUCUGAGAGGAAGGUCCCCCACAUUGGAACUGAGACACGGGCCAAACUCCUACGGGAGGCAGCAGUGAGGAAUAGUGGUCAAUGGGCGGGAGCCUGAACCAGCCAAGUAGCGUGCAGGAUGACGGCCCUAUGGGUUGUAAACUGCUUUUAUGCGGGGAUAAAGUGAGGGACGUGUCCUUCAUUGCAGGUACCGCAUGAAUAAGGACCGGCUAAUUCCGUG